CUAAGUGGGAAACCCUCCCCAAGAUGAACACUCCCGGGUCGCGAGACCCCUGAAGGGCCGUGGGAGACUACCACGUUGAUAGGCGGCAGGUGUAAGGCGCGCGAGCGCUUCAGCCGAGCCGUACUAAUUGCCCGUGAGGCUUGAUCUC
rnacentral:rRNA from 1 species